rnacentral:snoRNA from 1 species
GCAUGGCCGAAUUCUGUCCCAGCUGCUCUGUGUUGGAUACAGUCAGACACCAUGCCAAAGCCUCGUCUCAUUUCUGCUUAUUUACUGGAUGAGAGCUCCUCUCGGCCUCAUGCAGCUGUAAAGGAAUGAGUACAAUG